UACAGAGGAGCCAAGCGUUGUCCGGAUUGACUGGGCGUAAAGCGCGCGCAGGCGGCUGCGCGCGUGGGGUGUGAAAUCUGGCCGCUUAACGGCCAGGCGCCAUCCCAUACGGCGCGUCUGGAGUGAUGCAGAGGUCGAUGGAAUUGCCGGUGUAGUGGUGAAAUGCGUAGAGAUCGGCAGGAACACCCAGGGGGAAGCCAGGCGACUGGGCAUCUACUGACGCUGAGGUGCGAGAGCGUGGGGAGCGAACCGG
rnacentral:rRNA from 1 species